GAUCAGCAAGGCUCCAGGCUGCCGGACUGCCGCCGCUGUCAGACCCGCCAUCUCGGGGAGGACUGCCCCAGCCUGCUCUCUGCGCCUCGUUUUAUCCCCAAAGCGUAAUUGCUGCCUGACACCCUAUCUUCUGUGUGACUCAGCUUUCCAUACCCACCAUUAAAUGUGUGUGAGACGGUUAACCUAGAAAAGGCAGCCCAGGGAGAUGGUGUGGUGGCUCGAGGUGAUGGUGGAGAAGCCACGUGACCCGAGGCGGAUCCCUGAGACCUUCAUGGCGGAAAGAGUGAGCCAACUCCUGCAGGUUGUCCUCUGACCUCCUCAAGGAUGCCACGUACACAGGCUUCCCACGAACAAAACAAAUGAAAACAGCGAUAAAUAAAAUAAAAGGGUUAUUUUGGCUUAGA